UACGUAGGGUGCGAGCGUUGUCCGGAAUUAUUGGGCGUAAAGGGCUCGUAGGCGGUUUGUCGCGUCGGGAGUGAAAACCUUGGGCUUAACUCAGGGCUUGCUUUCGAUACGGGCAGACUAGAGGUAUGCAGGGGAGAACGGAAUUCCUGGUGUAGCGGUGAAAUGCGCAGAUAUCAGGAGGAACACCGGUGGCGAAGGCGGUUCUCUGGGCAUGAUCUGACGCUGGGGCACGAAGGUCAGGGGAGCAAACGGG
rnacentral:rRNA from 1 species